rnacentral:lncRNA from 1 species
CAUCGCUGAUCAUGCAUAUCUCAUGUGAGAACAUCAGAGUUGGAACACAGCUUGAAUGGCUGUGUGGGUGGACGGAGGAGUCCACAUGCUGGGAGGACGAUGACGCUCUUCACCUGAACUCGGGUACUUUAGGUUAGAAGUUACUGCCUAGCAUUGUGGGUUAUAAGUUUUUCAAUGUUGCGUGCUUAAAAACAUUCUGCAAAACGUAAAAUGUCUCCUCCAUGUGGUUUGAGAUCUUAAGGAAGCUCUUAAAUAUUGCCACGAUGAUGUGAAAUGAGACGACCUUCCCAGUACCUGUCCUCCGCUGUUUUCUGCCUAAAUGAUGUUCACCCUGGUGGCAGGCUCCAAAUCAAGAAGCAGCACGGAAAUGCACGAGGAGCAGAGGAAGGAUGUGGUCCAUCCGGGACAGGCUGA